CAGCAGCCGCGGUAAUACGUAGGGGGCGAGCGUUACCCGGAUUCACUGGGCGUAAAGGGGGUGUAGGCGGCUCGGUAAGUCGGGUGUGAAAUCCCACGGCUCAACCGUGGAAUUGCGCCCGAAACUGCCGAGCUUGGGGCCGGUAGAGGGAGACGGAACUGCCGGUGUAGGGGUGAAAUCCGUAGAUAUCGGCAGGAACGCCGGUGGGGAAGCCGGUCUCCUGGGCCGCGCCCGACGCUGAGGCCCGAAAGCUAGGGGAGCAAACCGGAUUAGAUACCCGGGUAGUCCUAGCCGUAAACGGUGGGCACUAGGUGUGGGGGGUUAAUCCCUCCGUGCCGAAGCUAACGCAUUAAGUGCCCCGCCUGGGGAGUACGGCCGCAAGGUUGAAACUUAAAGGAAUUGGCGGG
rnacentral:rRNA from 1 species